CAGGACUGUCUAUUGGGGCAACAUCCAAAGUGGUAUUACACUAGAAAAUGGCUGUGAUGCAAAGAAUAAAAGGGAUUUUAAUGGCACAGUAGAGAGAGUGCUGGACCUGGAGUCAAGAAGCCCCGAGUUCAAAUGUGCUUCAGACACUUACUAGCUGUGUGACCCUGGACAAAUCGCUUAACCUCUGUUGGCGACAGGUUCUUCAACUCUAAAACAAGGAUAAUCAUAGUACUUCCCACACAAGGCUGUU
rnacentral:lncRNA from 1 species